rnacentral:lncRNA from 15 species
UACAGAACUAAGUUGGUCAUCAAAUCGUAAGUACAUAAAUAAACGUCUUGAAUGGACUCUAAUCCCACAGACAAACAGAACAUGGUGUAACAACGUCUUUAAAAGGUCCAUUUGCAGGUGAAGCUCUCGCUUACGGCCAUACCACCCUGAACGCGCCCGAUCUCGUCCGAUCUCGGAAGCUAAGCAGGGUCGGGCCUGGUUAGUACUUGGAUGGGAGACCGCCUGGGAAUACCAGGUGCUGUAAGCCUUUUCAUUUCUCUUAGCAAACAGCAGAGGCUGCUGCUUCUUCACUGUACACAGAACGUUGUUCAGAUAUUUUUUCCACUGUUGUUGUAUAAUAUUUAAGCUUUCCGUCUAGAUGGAAUUCCUUUGAUUCUACUAUUGUUAUUAUCAUUGUUGUUGUUGUUAUCACUUGUCCACUGCAGGAUAAUAUCUAAACUUCAUUCAUGAGGACAUGUUGAAUUUUUGUCCUGCACACCCUGUUAAUGAAUUGAUUUCGUGGGACCUGAUUUUGGGAGAGUUCAAACAAACAGAACAUGGUGUAACAACGUCUUUAAAAGGUCCAUUUGCAGGUGAAGCUCUCGCUUACGGCCAUACCACCCUGAACGCGCCCGAUCUCGUCCGAUCUCGGAAGCUAAGCAGGGUCGGGCCUGGUUAGUACUUGGAUGGGAGACCGCCUGGGAAUACCAGGUGCUGUAAGCCUUUUCAUUUCUCUUAGCAAACAGCAGAGGCUGCUGCUUCUUCACUGUACACAGAACGUUGUUCAGAUAUUUUUUCCACUGUUGUUGUAUAAUAUUUAAGCUUUCCGUCUAGAUGGAAUUCCUUUGAUUCUACUAUUGUUAUUAUCAUUGUUGUUGUUGUUGUUAUCACUUGUCCACUGCAGGAUAAUAUCUAAACUUCAUUCAUGAGGACAUGUUGAAUUUUUGUCCUGCACACCCUGUUAAUGAAUUGAUUUCGUGGGACCUGAUUUUGGGAGAGUUCAAGUCAGUAAAUGCAUGAAUUAAUACAGAACUAAGUUGGUCAUCAAAUCGUAAGUACAUAAAUAAACGUCUUCAAUGGACUCUAAUCCCACAGACAAACAGAACAUGGUGUAACAACGUCUUUAAAAGGUCCAUUUGCAGGUGAAGCUCUCGCUUACGGGCAUACCACCCUGAACGCGCCCGAUCUCGUCCGAUCUCGGAAGCUAAGCAGGGUCGGGCCUGGUUAGUACUUGCAUGGGAGACCGCCUGGGAAUACCAGGUGCUGUAAGCCUUUUCAUUUCUCUUAGCAAACAGCAGAGGCUGCUGCUUCUUCACUGUACACAGAACGUUGUUCAGAUAUUUUUUCCACUGUUGUUGUAUAAUAUUUAAGCUUUCCGUCUAGAUGGAAUUCAUUUGAUUCUACUAUUGUUAUUAUCAUUGGUUGUUGUUGUUGUUAUCACUUGUCCACUGCAGGAUAAUAUCUAAACUUCAUUCAUGAGGACAUGUUGAAUUUUUCUCCUGCACACCCUGUUAAGGAAUUGAUUUCGUGGGACCUGAUUUUGGGAGAGUUCAAGUCAGUAAAUGCAUGAAUUAAUACAGAACUAAGUUGGUCAUCAAAUCGUAAGUACAUAAAUAAACGUCUUGAAUGGACUCUAAUCCCACACAAACAGAACAUGGUGUAACAACGUCUUUAAAAGGUCCAUUUGCAGGUGAAGCUCUCGCUUACGGCCAUACCACCCUGAACGCGCCCGAUCUCGUCCGAUCUCGGAAGCUAAGCAGGGUCGGGCCUGGUUAGUACUUGGAUGGGAGACCGCCUGGGAAUACCAGGUGCUGUAAGCCUUUUCAUUUCUCUUAGCAAACAGCAGAGGCUGCUGCUUCUUCACUGUACACAGAACGUUGUUCAGAUAUUUUUUCCACUGUUGUUGUAUAAUAUUUAAGCUUUCCGUCUAGAUGGAAUUCAUUUGAUUCUACUAUUGUUAUUAUCAUUAUCAUUGUUGUUGUUGUUGUUGUUGUUAUCACUUGUCCACUGCAGGAUAAUAUCUAAACUUCAUUCAUGAGGACAUGUUGAAUUUUUCUCCUGCACACCCUGUUAAGGAAUUGAUUUCGUGGGACCUGAUUUUGGGAGAGUUCAAGUCAGUAAAUGCAUGAAUUAAUACAGAACUAAGUUGGUCAUCAAAUCGUAAGUACAUAAAUAAACGUCUUGAAUGGACUCUAAUCCCACAGACAAACAGAACAUGGUGUAACAACGUCUUUAAAAGGUCCAUUUGCAGGUGAAGCUCUCGCUUACGGCCAUACCACCCUGAACGCGCCCGAUCUCGUCCGAUCUCGGAAGCUAAGCAGGGUCGGGCCUGGUUAGUACUUGGAUGGGAGACCGCCUGGGAAUACCAGGUGCUGUAAGCCUUUUCAUUUCUCUUAGCAAACAGCAGAGGCUGCUGCUUCUUCACUGUACACAGAACGUUGUUCAGAUAUUUUUUCCACUGUUGUUGUAUAAUAUUUAAGCUUUCCGUCUAGAUGGAAUUCAUUUGAUUCUACUAUUGUUAUUAUCUAUUGUUGUUGUUGUUGUUAUCACUUGUCCACUGCAGGAUAAUAUCUAAACUUCAUUCAUGAGGACAUGUUGAAUUUUUCUCCUGCACACCCUGUUAAGGAAUUGAUUUCGUGGGACCUGAUUUUGGGAGAGUUCAAGUCAGUAAAUGCAUGAAUUAAUACAGAACUAAGUUGGUCAUCAAAUCGUAAGUACAUAAAUAAACGUCUUGAAUGGACUCUAAUCCCACAGACAAACAGAACAUGGUGUAACAACGUCUUUAAAAGGUCCAUUUGCAGGUGAAGCUCUCGCUUACGGCCAUACCACCCUGAACGCGCCCGAUCUCGUCCGAUCUCGGAAGCUAAGCAGGGUCGGGCCUGGUUAGUACUUGGAUGGGAGACCGCCUGGGAAUACCAGGUGCUGUAAGCCUUUUCAUUUCUCUUAGCAAACAGCAGAGGCUGCUGCUUCUUCACUGUACACAGAACGUUGUUCAGAUAUUUUUUCCACUGUUGUUGUAUAAUAUUUAAGCUUUCCGUCUAGAUGGAAUUCAUUUGAUUCUACUAUUGUUAUUAUCAUUAUCAUUGUUGUUGUUGUUGUUGUUGUUGUUGUUGUUAUCACUUGUCCACUGCAGGAUAAUAUCUAAACUUCAUUCAUGAGGACAUGUUGAAUUUUUCUCCUGCACACCCUGUUAAGGAAUUGAUUUCGUGGGACCUGAUUUUGGGAGAGUUCAAGUCAGUAAAUGCAUGAAUUAAUACAGAACUAAGUUGGUCAUCAAAUCGUAAGUACAUAAAUAAACGUCUUGAAUGGACUCUAAUCCCACAGACAAACAGAACAUGGUGUAACAACGUCUUUAAAAGGUCCAUUUGCAGGUGAAGCUCUCGCUUACGGCCAUACCACCCUGAACGCGCCCGAUCUCGUCCGAUCUCGGAAGCUAAGCAGGGUCGGGCCUGGUUAGUACUUGGAUGGGAGACCGCCUGGGAAUACCAGGUGCUGUAAGCCUUUUCAUUUCUCUUAGCAAACAGCAGAGGCUGCUGCUUCUUCACUGUACACAGAACGUUGUUCAGAUAUUUUUUCCACUGUUGUUGUAUAAUAUUUAAGCUUUCCGUCUAGAUGGAAUUCAUUUGAUUCUACUAUUGUUAUUAUCAUUAUCAUGUUGUUGUUGUUGUUGUUAUUAUCACUUGUCCACUGCAGGAUAAUAUCUAAACUUCAUUCAUGAGGACAUGUUGAAUUUUUCUCCUGCACACCCUGUAAGGAAUUGAUUUCGUGGGACCUGAUUUUGGGAGA